rnacentral:rRNA from 1 species
UACGGAGGGGGCUAGCGUUGUUCGGAAUACUGGGCGUAAGGCGUGCGCAGGCGGUCUGCUAAGAGAGGUGUGAAAUCCCCGGGCUCAACCUGGGAACUGCAUUUGUGACUGCAUGGCUGGAGUGCGGCAGAGGGGGAUGGAAUUCCGCGUGUAGCAGUGAAAUGCGUAGAUAUGCGGAGGACCACCGAUGGCGAAGGCAAUCCCCUGGGCCUGCACUGACGCUCAUGCACGAAAGCGUGGGGAGCAAACAGG